rnacentral:lncRNA from 1 species
CACAGCUGGUCAGUGCUGCGGGCUUGAGGGCUGCCCCGGCUCCUCUGGCGCCCAAACAAGGAGCCAGAGCGCGGGCGGCCGGGCGUGGAGGCUGGGGCCGGCAGGUUGCAGGGUCUGCGCUGCGCCUGCCCUCCACCCGGGGCCCCGACACGAGAGGAAGCCCCGCGCUCCCUCCCGGAGCGCUGGAGACAGAUAUGCAAGAUGGCAGAGAGGGGGAAAGCCAAUAGAAAAGGGAUAUUGCACCUACUUGUGGCCAGUUUCCUUGCCCUGCCUUUGGAUCUCAUGCUGUGCCCAGUCCUGCAGCCGCUGGAUUUACCAAUGAAGUGGGCAUGCAGAAAUGGGGACCUCUUAAAAGGAACUAGCUGUGUUCAAGGAGAGGAGGUGGAGUCCACUGAGGACCGAAGAACAUCCACGACAAGAGGAGGCUCUGCCUGGGACUUUUCACUUCAUCUUACUCCGGGGAGUUUAAAAAAUAAAUAAAAUGUGUUACCGACUUUCCU